CGAAGAUUUACAGAACAAAACAAGGACUAUGCAAGCGACUGACUUCAGCGUCUAUGUGUAUAAUGAAUUCCAUCAAUGAAGCCUUUGAAAAAAAAGCGGGCCAUACCCCAGUCCUUGCCUGUGGGAAUGUGGUGUUUCACAGGAGGUCAGAUGGCAUUCCAUGAUGGAAUAACAUCUCUUAUCAAAUUCAGCAGGUCAAAAAUGCUCUUUACCAUCCACAGACAGUAUUUGGCAGACAAGGAACAAGAAAUUCCACUUAAUUUAAUAGCUGUUUGGAUGUGCAUGAACAGCUAUGCAUCCGGUGCUGGUUUGUUAACAUGCAGGGGCUGCCACAAUCUUCCUUUAGGAUAACAAGGAUGUCAGUUUCCAGCAAAAUAAUCCAGGAAGAACCCCAGGUCUUACUGUUAAGGAAUGCAAUGAGGUUGUGACCAUUAGGCUCAAAGCGGUGGAGAAAGAUGUCUGGCCAGGAGACAUAUUGAUGUUAUGCUUUACUGAUGUUGUUGCCAACACCUACAAACCAUUCACUACAACUACCACAACGAACAAUGUUCUGGUAAUGCAGAAAAUCUGAGCUACCUUUGUGAAAGAGGCCAAGAGAGGAUUGGAUGGUGGAGUUUCAGAUGACACAAUGCUGACUGUUUCCACCCAGCUGAUUUUGCUUCCUACUGGCAGCAGAAGGAAGUCUUCACUUUUAUUUUAAACAAUUCAGUUUUAAUGCCACCAAUUUGUCAAGAUAACAAGCUAACUGAACAGAUUGAAAUUACACCAACUUCCUUCAUUAACAGAAACUAUCUGUGUACCUGGACCAUCAGCUUGAACAGUA